GAGUUGAGACACGGUUCAUAGUAUUAGAAAUUGGAAAAGCAGUUUGGGAUUUCAUUGGUAUUCAAUAACAAUGAAUAUUUCAUCAUUUUCUGAAAAAGAUUUUAGUGUUGUAGAUUGGAUUAAUAAUACAUUAAAGGACAAACCACCAGAUGAAUGUCGUGAAGGUAAUUCCAUCUAUGUUGAAAAAGUUACAGUUAUGUGUAGAACAAGUACACGAGGUACUAGAUGAAACAACAACACAAAUUCUUUCUUCUCUACCAAAAGUUGUCAAUGACAUUGAGCAAUUUGAAAAUCAAGCAUCUAACAUACAAAAAAAAAUUGUUGAUUUAAAACAAGAAAU